rnacentral:ncRNA from 2 species
UUUAAUACUAUUGAGUUAGGUGCCCAUAUGGGCUUAAUAGGGAAGACCGGUGAAAGACCGGCGCGGUCCCGCCACUGUAACGGGGAGCAAGCUUAAGAUAUACCACUGAAACAACCGUUUUGGGAAGGUUUAAGCAAGCCAUGAUCCGAAGUCAGGAGAACUACCUAACUGACAAUCACCGU